GACGAACGCUGGCGGCGUGCUUAACACAUGCAAGUCGAACGGAAAGGCCCUGCUUUUGUGGGGUGCUCGAGUGGCGAACGGGUGAGUAACACGUGAGUAACCUGCCCUUGACUUUGGGAUAACUUCAGGAAACUGGGGCUAAUACCGGAUAGGAGCUCCUGCUGCAUGGUGGGGGUUGGAAAGUUUCGGCGGUUGGGGAUGGACUCGCGGCUUAUCAGCUUGUUGGUGGGGUAGUGGCUUACCAAGGCUUUGACGGGUAGCCGGCCUGAGAGGGUGACCGGCCACAUUGGGACUGAGAUACGGCCCAGACUCCUACGGGAGGCAGCAGUGGGGAAUAUUGCACAAUGGGCGGAAGCCUGAUGCAGCAACGCCGCGUGCGGGAUGACGGCCUUCGGGUUGUAAACCGCUUUCGCCUGUGACGAAGCGUGAGUGACGGUAAUGGGUAAAGAGGCACCGGCUAACUACGUGC
rnacentral:rRNA from 1 species